rnacentral:lncRNA from 1 species
UAUUUAUAUGUUUAAAUUUUAUUUUUAAAAAUAGUGGAAUCAUGUUUUAUUUUAUGUUAUAGCACAAAUAUAAUAUUCAUUCUAGCCAUCUACUUAGUCUAGAAAUCGGAUAGUAAGUAUUACACACGGAUUUAUCCUAGGUAAAAAAUACAAACAAAACUUUCUUCAAUAUUCUAUCCUAGCUAGAUUUCGUCAGGUAAUAUUCUAACAAGACAUCUUUAGUCUACUUAUAGCUUUAUUACAACUUCUAACCUCGACUCUGUGAACUACCUUCUUUUUUAUAUGUCAUAAGAUUUUCUGCCUUUU